CCUACGGGGGGCUGCAGUGGGGAAUAUUGGACAAUGGGCGAAAGCCUAAUCCAGCCAUGCCGCGUGUGUGAAGAAGGCCUUCGGGUUGUAAAGCACUUUCAGUGGGGAAGAAAGCCUUGGGGCUAAUACCCUCGAGGAAGGACAUCACCCACAGAAGAAGCACCGGCUAACUCCGUGCCAGCAGCCGCGGUAAUACGGAGGGGUGCGAGCGUUAAUCGGAAUUACUGGGCGUAAAGCGCGCGUAGGCGGUCUGAUAAGCCGGUUGUGAAAGCCCCGGGCUCAACCUGGGAACGGCAUCCGGAACUGUCAGGCUAGAGUGCAGGAGAGGAAGGUAGAAUUCCCGGUGUAGCGGUGAAAUGCGUAGAGAUCGGGAGGAAUACCAGUGGCGAAGGCGGCCUUCUGGACUGACACUGACGCUGAGGUGCGAAAGCGUGGGUAGCAAACAGGAUUAGAUACCCCAGUAGUC
rnacentral:rRNA from 1 species